rnacentral:sRNA from 1 species
UUGCAACCACAAUGGUGGCACUCUGCCGU